rnacentral:rRNA from 1 species
GAUGAACGCUGGCGGCGUGCCUAAUACAUGCAAGUCGAGCGAACAGACGAGGAGCUUGCUCCUCUGACGUUAGCGGCGGACGGGUGAGUAACACGUGGAUAACCUACCUAUAAGACUGGGAUAACUUCGGGAAACCGGAGCUAAUACCGGAUAAUAUAUUGAACCGCAUGGUUCAAUAGUGAAAGACGGUUUUGCUGUCACUUAUAGAUGGAUCCGCGCCGCAUUAGCUAGUUGGUAAGGUAACGGCUUACCAAGGCAACGAUGCGUAGCCGACCUGAGAGGGUGAUCGGCAACACUGGAACGGAGACACGGACAAGACUCCGACGGGAGGCGGUGGUAGGGAAUCGACCGCAAUGGGCGAAAGCCUGACGGAGCAACGCGGCGUGAGUGAUGAAGGUCUUCGGAUCGUAAACCUCUGUUAGGGAAGAACAAAUGUGUAAGUAAAUAUGCACGUCUUGACGGUACCUAAUCAGAAAGCCACGGCUAACUACGUG